CAUCAAUAGGGUGAUGGGACAAAGUGCUUUUCAAUAAACUGUUCUGUUUUUGAUCUGGUAUUUUUGACCCAAACUAGACUUGAGUGUUUGGAGAACCACUGCACAUUAACUUCUGUAUUUUUAAGGCUCAUUGGCAAUGCUUAGCAGGUAAUCAUCACUCACAUUUGUUGAUUUUAUUUGAGUUUAUGAAAAUUUCCACCUUGCUUUAGAUAGAAUUUGUUUUUGUUUAAAACCCCUGUACCUUUUUCUAAGUAACACCAGGGGGCACUGUUCCCUCAAUAAUGCUUGUUGUGGCACCAAAACAUUUGGGCAGCCUUGGGGAAGCCCUCCCAAUAGCUACUCUUAUUUUGUAUCACACAGCCCUGGAAAUUCAGACAAGUGAGACUGGAGAGGCAGUUCUUGUUGGAAGCUUAUGAGCUCUAAUAGUUAUUCCUUUCAAAAGAA
rnacentral:lncRNA from 1 species